AUUGAACGCUGGCGGCAGGCUUAACACAUGCAAGUCGAGCGAGCGGCGGACGGGUGAGUAAUGUCUGGGAAACUGCCUGAUGGAGGGGGAUACCUACUGGAAACGGUAGCUAAUACCGCAUACCAUCAGAUGUGCCCAGAUGGGAUUAGCUAGUAGGUGGGGUAAUGGCGCACCUAGGCGAAGAUCCCUAGCUGGUCUGAGAGGAUGACCAGCCACAUGGGAACGGAGAUACGGUCCAGACUCCUACGUGAGGCAGCAGUGGGGAAUAUUGCACAAGGGGCGCAAGCCUGAUUCAGCCAUGCCGCGUGUGUGAAGAAGGCCUUCGGGUUUGAAAGCACUUUCAGCGAGGAGGCGUUACUCGCAGAAGAAGCACCGGCUAACUCCGUGCCAGCAGCCGCGGUAAUAC
rnacentral:rRNA from 1 species